rnacentral:rRNA from 1 species
AUACGGAGGGUGCAAGCGUUACUCGGAAUCACUGGGCGUAAAGCGCGCGCAGGCGGCUAUUUAAGUUGGAUGUGAAAGCCUACGGCUCAACCGUAGAACUGCAUCCAAAACUAUUUAGCUAGAGUGUGGGAGAGGAAGAUGGAAUUAGUUGUGUAGGGGUAAAAUCCGUAGAGAUAACUAGGAAUACCAAAAGCGAAGGCAAUCUUCUGGAACAUUACUGACGCUGAGGCGCGAAAGCGUGGGGAGCAAACAGGAUUAGAAACCCUAGUAGUCC